GAUGAACGCUGGCGGCGUGCCUAAUACAUGCAAGUCGAGCGAACAGACGAGGAGCUUGCUCCUCUGACGUUAGCGGCGGACGGGUGAGUAACACGUGGAUAACCUACCUAUAAGACUGGGAUAACUUCGGGAAACCGGAGCUAAUACCGGAUAAUAUAUUGAACCGCAUGGUUCAAUAGUGAAAGACGGUUUUGCUGUCACUUAUAGAUGGAUCCGCGCCGCAUUAGCUAGUUGGUAAGGUAACGGCUUACCAAGGCAACGAUGCGUAGCCGACCUGAGAGGGUGAACGCGCCCUCUGGGACUGAGACACGGUCCAGACUCCUACGGGAGGCAGAGGUAGGGAAUCGUGCGAGAUGGGGGGAAGCCUGACGGAGCGACGCCGGGUGAGUGAUGAAGGUCUUCGGAGCGUAUAACUGUGUUAUUGGUGAAGAACAAAUGUGUAAGGAACUAUGCACUUCGUGACGGUACCUAAACAGAAAGCCACGGCUAACUACGUG
rnacentral:rRNA from 1 species